ensembl:snoRNA
ACCCUUUUAAAAGCACUCAGUGGGCCUUUCACUAAUGACCCAUUGAGCCGUCAAGAAAGGGCAGAGGAAAGACAUCGCUUUUGGGUGAAGCGGCAACGUGUCAUGUUGUUCGACUUCAAUUGGCGGUGUAACAAGA